rnacentral:lncRNA from 1 species
CUUAUUCAAAAUGGCCAGGUUAGGGUCCUCUUCUUAGGAUCAGAAGGCACUACUGACCACCAGCAUUCUUUCCAACCAGGCAGUUCCAUCCAGGAACAGGUAUCCUUGUUGGUAACUGGAUAAAAUCCUAUGGACUUGCUGAACCAAAAGAAAUGAGCAUUUUGAAGCCUUUGAACAUUUUGUCAAAUGACCCUCCAAGAGAAUGUAAACUCUCGCUCAGCGCCAAGCACAGCAUCAUCAGUGCCUGUCAAAGUGCCUCGCAUAUAGUUCAUCCUCGAUAAAUACAUGUUGAAUAGAUGAAUGCACAGGAAAAAGGAAAUAAUUUUAGUAUUGCGCUAACCAAGCAUAAUACUCAAGCUAAAACUAAUGUAAAACUUACCACCAGCUGCCUUCCGGAAACAAGUGAAAAAAGACAAGAGACACCACAAACAAUGCAUUGCCACAGAGAGACCUUCCAUUUGGCAGCUGAAAGAUGCGCUGAGCUCUAGGCUGGACGUAGGACUUCUUUCCACGCUCUUGGUAAUGCAUCUGCUUCCUCUGCCCCAGUACAAGCACUACAGGAAUAAAAAAGGGAGUUUUGCCCCUCUGCCCCUAUGCACUGCCUUUAGGGAAAAAUAUCCCUGUCUUUCCAGCACACCCUAUCCAAACUCCUGCAGAAUAUGGUGCUGCACCAGCAGAAAUUUUCUUCCUGAAGAAAAGUCAAUGAGUUUGCCAUAAAGCAGGUUUCUCUCUUUGGAGGGAGCCGGUCAUAUCUGGGAUAUUGUUGCAUGUUGUUGAUGAUUAACCUGCAGGAGACGCGUUGUCAAUAAACAUUUACUGGACAUCCACUGAGGGCCCUGCAUCUCAGGGAGUGAGAGGCUACGGAGAGGCAAAGGAUGCUAGAGUAGGGACGUGGGAGGAGCCCAGAGACCCCAAAACCCAAUGUGUUCACUUUGUAAAUGUAGUAACAGAGACCGAGAAAGAAUCUGGUGUUGCCAAGGUCACAGCACCAUGUGGCAGCCCUGGCGACUUCCUGAAUCUCAGAUCAGGGCUUCUCCGAAGCUCUCUCCUAAGUUAGACGGGUAGAAGUGGAGACUGAAUAUCUAUCUCAAGUACGUAAAAGUGUCCGUGGAAGUCUCCGGUGACUCUGCAGUUACAGCUCCCAUUUCCCGACGGCCUGAGCAGGGACCUGGCACCUAAGUUAUCUUUAACUUCCCAAACAAGUCUGAAAUAAGGACACUUAGGCUCAGAAUGAGGCCCAAGGUCACACCGAUCGUGAACAUGACAGGUGCAAAUUUGAACCCAGUAGUGUCUGAUUCCAAAGCUGAAUAUACGGAUAUGUUAGGAUGCCCACCUACUAUGUCACCUCACUUACUCCACCCUUGAGAUGGAACCAUCUCUGUCAAGAAAUAAGGAUUAAACCAAAUCAAGUACAAAUGAAAACCCAGACUGCAAGCCAUCAUAGAAAGUAAGAUUCAAUGUGUGUAUGUAUUUGCAUGAUUAAGCACAUGCAGAGAAAGAAUACAUCUAGAUAUCAAGUGGUAAUUUUGAAAUUUUCUCCUUUAUACAUUUCUGUUUUUCUCAAAUAUUAAAAUAGAUGAUUCUUAUUAAUCUGAAAUUAAUUUUUUAGGUUGUGGUAAAAUAUAUACAUGUAACAUAAAUUUUACAAUCUUAACCAUUUUUAAGUGUACAAUUUAGUAGCAUUAAAAACAUUUACAUUGUUGUUUAACCAUCACCUCCAUCCAUCUCCAGAACACUUUGCUAUUCCUGAAAAUCUGAAAUCCUGAACCCAUUAAACAACAGCUCCGCACUUCCCCCUGCACCAGCCCCUGGCAACCACCAUUCUACUUCUGUCUCUAUAAAUUUGUCUAUUCUGGGUACCUCACAUAAGUGGAAUCAUACCAUAUUUCUCCUUUUGUGUCUGGCUUAUUUUAUUUAGCAUAAUGUUCUCAAGGUUCAUCCAUGUUGUAGCAUGUAUCAGGAUCUCCUUCCUUUUUAAGGCCGAAUGAUAUUCCACUGUAUGUAUAUACCACAUCCUGUUUAUCCAUUUAUCCACGAAUGAAUACUUGGAUUGCAUCUGCUUUUUGGCCAUUACAAAUAAUGUUGAUAUGAACAUGGGCAAACAAAUAUUUCCAAAAGCCCCUAGACUUUUUAAAUCCUGGAGUAUACUUUUAGAAUGUGCCGCUGUGAAUUAAAAUCAGGAUAUGCUUUCUAUUGGUCUCAGCCUGGAAAACAGCAAAUUCUGUGCUGGAGUCUACACAUUUUGCCUUCUGUCUUUAAACACCUCUAAACCAGUGGUUCUCAACCCUGGCUGCCUAUUAGAAUCACCUGGGGGUGCUUUCAAAAAAUACUGAUGUCCCAGCCCUAUGAAGGCCACUGAAUCAGAACUCCUCUGAGUUGAGGCAGAGGAAUUGAGUAUUUUUAAAAGGCUGCCCAGAUUAUUCUACUGUACAGACAAGAGUAAGAAUCAGUGUCCUGAAGCCUCUUCUUCUGGGGGGCCCUUCUCUUUAUUUAAGAAAACUCUGCCUUAUGAGUAAUUCCUCUUCUUUCCUCCCAUCAAAACCCAGGAGGGUUUGAUAACCAGUCAAUUGCCCUAGUUGUUUGACUGAUUGCAUUCCAACUGAAACAUUCGCUCCACGGCCUUACCUCCUCCAGUUGAAGCCUUUUAUCUCUAAUUGUGGACUGCGUGCCUGCUUCUUUCUUGGAAGGAAUGUUGAUAUGAGUAAGCAGUUAGGGAAGUAUUUCUAGGCCUACUCAGUCCUUCAGGUAAUUAUAAUCUAGUCCUUUCAAGGCAGUAGGGACAAUAAGAGGGGCCAGAAGAUGUGGUCCCAGUCCAUAUCCAGUGCCCGACUGAGGCACUGAGCCAGCUCAAGAGGCCCCUCCCCAUCCUCACAUUUCAUCCCUAAGCCCUGGCCUCCCCUCGCUCUUGCCCAAGACUCCCAGCUAGUUAAUUGGCGUGCCCCAGGGACCUCUGGUGGUUUUGCCCAGUUCUGUCUUUGCUAAUUUUCUUUUGUGAUGGGGUUCCUUCCUCUAACACCCUAGGACACAUCUCUGCUGAGUGUGCUUUCUCUCUGGUUCUUGUGUUCUUGACAACAGAGCAUGUCAACUGAUGGGCGGCAUGGUGACUUCGAGAACAGGAUGAGUUCCCAGCAUCUUUGUCAGAAAUUUCACAACCACGGCUGAUGUCACACUGGUGGCAGCAGGGCGUGUUCUAGGACACAGAUUCGCCAUCAGCUGCUCCCCAGGCAGGCAGGCCUGGGGCUCCAGGGCCCUUCAACUCACCUUGGGGCUCUUCUGCCUCUUUGCAAAGAGCCCUCCAAACAGGGUACUGGAAGCUGAAGCCAUGGCAGCAGCUCCAAGGACUGGCCUGUUUGGGAGAGAACAUGGUCCUUCCCUCUGCCAGGCCUACCCUGGAGCCUGUCCCUGAAGGGCUGGGACAUCCUGAUCCUCCACAGGGGACUGGCUGCAGUGCCCCUUUAUGUCCAUGUGCAAUGCUGAUGUAAAAGUGUUAACGGUGUGGGGGACAGGGACUGUGGUAGGAGCUCUGAGGAAAGACAGAGCAUGAGCUGGAGGAAUCAGGCCCCGAGGAAGGAGAGGAACCAAGCCUAGGAGGAGGGAGAGCGCAUCCCACCCAGAGGAACAGGCCCCACUCAGAACCCUUUUGCCCUCACAGGCAUGCUGGGCCCUGCAAGCUGGCAAGCCAUCAGGGUAACAGAGCC